CCAUGCAAAUAUAGAAUAUUUGGUUUUGGUCCUUGGUAUUUUGUUUUAAUCCUUGUAAAAUCAUUUCAUAUUGAAAUUGGUCCCUAUAAUAUUCAUUUUAGUCCUCGUUUUGAGGGACUAAAAUCAAAUAUUCUACAUAUUACAAAGACCAAAUCCAAUAUGAUUUAAAUUUUACAAGGACUAAAACAAAAUACUAAGGACCAAAACCAAAUUUUUUAUAUUUGCAGGGA
rnacentral:pre_miRNA from 1 species